GGAGGAGUGGCAGAGUGGUCGAUUGCACCGGUCUUGAAAACCGGCGUGCGUUCAAGCGCACCGUGGGUUCGAAUCCCACCUCCUCCG
rnacentral:tRNA from 1 species